rnacentral:lncRNA from 1 species
GGCCACUCCCUUCUGGGGCUCUCCAGAGAUGGUGUAGACGAUCUCGAUCGGAGGCCGAUUUUCAGGUUGUUCUUCCUUCCUCGACGGUGCUGGUCGCGGUAGGGUCCUCGACCGAUUCUUCCUACCUUUAGGAUGGUGCUGGAUGGAUCUGUCGACCACUGUUGUCGGAGAAGGAGGAGGGGCCUGGAAAAUCGAGGGUGAGGCUGGAGCUUGGGAUCUA